GCUCCCCGCGGUCUCUGUUCCGUGCUGUGACUUGCCGACCGGACCUGUGAGCAGAGCUGGGCGAGCUCGGAAUCCGCACCAUGUGCUACCUGCCCUGGAUAUAUCUGACUGGAGCCUGUCCUUCCUGUGAUCCUGGUUGUGUCAGAAAUCCUCCGAGUCAAGCUGUCUCUGUGAUCCUGUGAUCCUGAGAUCCUGGGUGUAUCCGAGCUCCUGGGAGUCAAGCUGCCUUUGGGAUCUUGAGAUCCUGGUGUGACCAAGUUCCUGGGGUCCUGGGAUGGUGUGAUCCUGGGUGUGUUAGAGCAACUGGGAAUGGAGCUGCCUCUGGGUAUUGUGGGGCUGGCUGUGGAGUUUGUGCCCAAGGUCUGCUCAGGGCGCCAGCCCAGACAGACUGGAAGGAACCUGUGCCACUGCUCUGGUGGAAUUCCUGCAUGCCUGGGUCCUACUGGACCUAGUUACUCCCGGUGUUGGGGACAGAUGUAGCCUCCUCACCUCUGAUCCUCUGAUCCUGGGCUUGUUGGAGUGCCCGGGAGUGGAGCUGCC
rnacentral:lncRNA from 7 species